rnacentral:rRNA from 1 species
GACGAACGCUGGCGGCGUGCUUAACACAUGCAAGUCGAACGGAAAGGCCCUGCUUUUGUUGGGUGCUCGAGUGGCGAACGGGUGUGUAACACGUGAGUAACCUGCCCUUGACUUUGGGAUAACUUCCGGAAACUGGGGCUAAUACCGGAUAGGAGCUCCUGCUGCAUGGUGGGGGUUGGAAAGUUUCGGCGGUUGGGGAUGGACUCGCGGCUUAUCAGCUUGUUGGUGGGGUAGUGGCUUACCAAGGCUUUGACGGGUAGCCGGCCUGAGAGGGUGACCGGCCACAAUGGGACUGAGAUACGGCCCAGAGUGGUACGGGAGGCAGCAGUGGGGAAUAUGGCACAAUGGGCGGAAGCCUGAUGCAGCAACGCCGCGUGCGGGAUGACGGCCUUCGGGUUGUAAACCGCUUUCGCCUGUGACGAAGCGUGAGUGACGGUAAUGGGUAAAGAAGCACCGGCUAACUACGUG